UGAUGUGAAUUUAAAGUCUUUUUCAUCUAAACAUGAGCAAUUUUCAGCCGCCAGACCAUAUAAGAGUGUUCCUUUUAUUGUGGGCCUUAUUUAAAACUCGCCCUUCAAAUUCACCCAUGCUCUGCAGUCUAGGGAGAUUUUUUUUUUGGACGUCAAGCGCAUAAUUGAUUUUUAUGUACAUUAUAUCCAACUUUUUAUGUACUUACAAAUAUUAAAAAAAAAAAAGCGACUUGAUAGGCGCCUAAAACGGGACCUACUUGCAUUCAUGCAAAUGACUUUUUAACAGUUAUGGGGUCAUUGCGGCUUUCGUACUGCGUGCUAUUCUUUUGUGUUCUUGUUUUAGGUAACUACUAAUCAUUAUUUUAAAGAAUUCAACGAUUCAACUUAACUUAUCUUUUGCAUUGCCUUUAUAAAUUAGCUUUUUAAAUGUCCUUCUAUCUGUAUCAUUACAGCGCGCUAAAUGACCCAUUGGGAACACUAUUUUAUGCAUUAUUUUACCAAUUCACUUAGUAGUACUUAUUCUUAAUACAACAAAACGAAAAACAGCCAACAAAUCUGAGCAAAUGAAGUUUUAUACCCAAAAACCGUUAAUAGUGCUAUUUUUGUUGCCGCAUAAUUAUGCUACUUUUUUCAUAAAUCUAUCGAAGUUUUAAAAACCAUUCGCAUUACGCCCACAACCAUUUUUACUUUAGUUAAACGAUAUGUAAACCUACUUACCCUUACACACAGAAGAAAAAUAUUGCAAAAAAUGACCAUUUUGUACACAAAUAAAAAUUGCCCACACUUUGGUGCUAUUUUUGUUGCCGCAACUGUACCUAUAUAUAUUUAUAUACACAUACUUUAUUCAUGCAUUUACUUACUAGUGUUGUUGUUGUUGUUACUAAGCUAUCAGCCCAAAACAAAUGCAGCUAAUACUCAAUAAUCAGUAGAGAGAGCCAAAGCCAGAGCCCGAGAGAGAGAGACGUCAAAAAAAAAUUUAUAUUCUUUAUACCUAUAUAUUAUACAUGCAUUCAUGCAUUUUUUUACUUUAAUCACAAUUCUGUAAAACUAGUCUUUAAGCAUUCACCCACAGGGAAAGUAUAUAAUCGCAUAAUAAAAAUUAAUAAUAAAUACACAAAAUAAAAAUAAUUAUGGUUUUGAUAUUAUUAUUUGUACUUGGAAUCCUCGUUGGAAUAGCGUCAGUAAAAAGCGAAUAUGAUAUCAAAAAAAUUCCCUACCAAACGGAAAUUAAAUACUCUAGUUUUGAUCUCGUUGUAAACGAAACAUUGACUGUCAAAGUAAAUUUAAUUUUUGAACUCAAUACCGCAUUUGUGGAAGUGAUUCGAGAAAGCAGCAGCAGCAGCAGCAACAACAACAAAAAUCAAAAUGAUAUAAGAUUUAAACGAGAUUUGGUACUAUUCGAACAUAUGCCUCUUACUUUCCCCACGAUCGAUGAGGUAGUUGAAAAUUUCCGCCGAGAGUUAAUUAGAAAAGAAGAGGAUAUUGGUGGAAUAAUUGACUCACCCGCUGUAAUUUGUAGAUAUUUCAAAUUAAAAUACUUGAGAAGUAUUGUCAAUAUUCGAUGCAAUUAUCAUAGCGAUUUCGAAAAUAAAACAUUACGAAUUUUUUGUCAUCACUAUAAUGCUGUAAGCAAUACCAAUGAGCGAAACCUGAUAAAGAAAAAUUAUUUUUUUGAACGAGACUUUACCAACGAUGAGGGAGAUGAUUAUUACGAUAAAGCCAACCCCACCAACCUUCAGUUAGAGAGACACAUCGGAACGUAUAACAUCAAUGAUUAUCAACAGGUUUUGCAUAUGAAUAUUCAAUAAUAACAACACAAAAAAAAAAAAAAUAAUGACAUUUACAAAAAAAAUUAUUGAUUUUAUUCAAAAUUAUCUACACAUUCUGUCGCCCGAGGAUAAAGAAACUCUCCAAAGUAUACAUAUGCGAUUAGAACAUAUUAAAAAUUUAAAUAUUACCUUUAAUCAAAUGGAAACGAAUAAAGAGAUGAGUACAACUUAUGCUGCUGCUGCUGAUGAUGUAGUAGAUUGUGAAAAAGAACAACAUUUCAAGUACAUACAACAAAAAUUGGUUGAUGAACAUGACGCAUUACAAAUUAUGACUUCCUAUCAAAUUUUAUCAUCAUCAUCAUCGUCAACAUCUAGUAUAUCCGAACAAUAAGUGGGAGGCUUCCUGUGUUGUUUGUGUGUGUGUGUGUGUGUGUAUUAUAGAGCGAGAGAUUGUAAAAAGGAAAACAAAGAAAAUGGGAUGGAAAAUUAAGGCAAGAUAGAAUGUGAUAUAUAGUAUAUAGAUUCAGCUAUAAAAUUGAGUGUAUGUUGGUCAGUAGAUUUAGUAUGUUGAAAAUUAUUCUCGAGUCUCUCUCUCAAGCAUUUCGAACAAAAAAAAAUGCAUUUUCGCGUAUUCCUAUUACUGUUAGUAUGCGCAGUCGCUAAAAUCACUUCAAAUCAAACAACAACAACAACAACAACA